GGGGAAUUUUGGACAAUGGGCGCAAGCCUGAUCCAGCCAUGCCGCGUGCAGGAUGAAGGCCUUCGGGUUGUAAACUGCUUUUGUACGGAACGAAAAGACUCUGGUUAAUACCUGGGGUCCAUGACGGUACCGUAAGAAUAAGCACCGGCUAACUACGUGCCAGCAGCCGCGGUAAUACGUAGGGUGCGAGCGUUAAUCGGAAUUACUGGGCGUAAAGCGUGCGCAGGCGGUUAUAUAAGACAGAUGUGAAAUCCCCGGGCUCAACCUGGGAACUGCAUUUGUGACUGUAUAGCUAGAGUACGGCAGAGGGGGAUGGAAUUCCGCGUGUAGCAGUGAAAUGCGUAGAUAUGCGGAGGAACACCGAUGGCGAAGGCAAUCCCCUGGGCCUGUACUGACGCUCAUGCACGAAAGCGUGGGGAGCAAAC
rnacentral:rRNA from 1 species